GAGUUUGAUCGUGGCUCAGAACGAACGCUGGCGGCAUGCCUAACACAUGCAAGUCGAACGGGAUCCGGACUUCGGUCCGGUGAGAGUGGCGGACGGGUGAGUAACGCGUGGGAACCUGCCCAAUGGUCUGGGAUAACCGCGGGAAACUGCGGCUAAUACCGGAUAAGCCCGAGAGGGGAAAGAUUUAUCGCCGAUGGAGGGGCCCGCGUCCGAUUAGGUAGUUGGUGAGGUAACGGCUCACCAAGCCGACGAUCGGUAGCUGGUCUGAGAGGAUGAUCAGCCACACUGGGACUGAGACACGGCCCAGACUCCUACGGGAGGCAGCAGUGGGGAAUAUUGGACAAUGGGGGAAACCCUGAUCCAGCCAUGCCGCGUGAGUGAAGAAGGCCCUAGGGUUGUAAAGCUCUUUCGACGGGGACGAUGAUGACGGUACCCGUAGAAGAAGCCCCGGCUAACUUCGUGCCAGCAGCCGCCGUAAC
rnacentral:rRNA from 1 species